GCUAAGUACAGAGCACAUCCAGGUACUCAGUACAUCCCCUCCCCUCGGAUUUUUCCAAAGGGAAAAUGAGCUGUAACAGUUCUCCUGAGGGCAGGGAAGGCAGGAGAGCUCCCUAACAACUGAGUUCUCUGACUGUAGCCAGCUCUCAGUGGCUGGGAGACACACCAGGAGAGCAGACACACAAAAACCAGCUCCUGGUUUACUGGGAGCACCAGCAAGCAUAUAUUCCUUUUAAAUAUUCCUCAUUUACCUGCCUGAGGGGUUUUCCCUCAUUCCUGCACCUGCCUUUUUUUUUACACACAGCUGCAACUGUGCUGCUUGGUUGGGAUGUUAUGGAUAAACACACUUGGGUUCUACCUCGACCUGGCAUGUCUUGUGUGGCAUUUUAAGAGAAGCAGGUACCAAGUGGCACAGAGAAUUUACCAAGUGGGGUAAAUCCCACUGCACAGGGAUCCUGGUGCUUUUUGGGCUGCCUCCCACGAGAAAGUGCUCUGCUCCUGUCCUUAUUUUCAUUGAUGAGAUUGUGGAUAAGAUUACAAGUGACAGAGGGCAGAAUUUUGGUGGAAGUCUUUCCUUUCUCUCGUGAGUUCAAAUAUUUAAUAUACACUGUCCUUUCUUCCUCUUGAAGCUGAUGGUUUAGUAAACACGAAGGUUUUACUAAACCAAAACAUUUAAAGGCUGCAGGCCAGAACUGAUGCCUCCUGUGAGACAGAGCAGGCAUUUUAAACUGCCUGUUUCUGAAGUGAUGGGUGAUUUUGUAAUAACAGAAAUCUUCCUUAGUGACACACAGCCAGAAGAACUUCUGAAACACCUUUCAAUCAUUUCAAAUGAGGUCUGGAUCCAAAGGGGUGCAAUUUUAAUCCCAGGAGAGCCUGAUCUGCUGUGCCAAGUUAUGAAGAUCAAAUCAGGACAUCUCUGGACUGCACACUCGGUGACCUCAGCUUCACCAGCAGCACAGGCUGUUUCCUGAGUGCCAGGAACUGAUGGAAAACCCCACCAGCUGCUGCAGGAACAAACCCGCGGGAAUGGAAUCAGCCAGGUGGAAAGAACGGCCAGAAUUACAUCCCAAAAGCCUCAUGGGGAACUCUUUGCCACCCAGCACUCCACAGCCAAGGGAAGUGCAGGUCUUGGAAACCAGUCUCCAAAUUUUUACCUGGGAAAGGGAUAAGCAGCAAAGUGCACACACAAAGAAGAGGCAGAAUCCCAGAGGACUGGUCUGGAUGAGCAGUGUGUGAGUAUGGGAGAGUUCCACACCAGGUCUUUGAAAGCCAGCUGGGAUGGAGUCAGCUCAGGCUGCAAGUAGGAACUCGCUCGAAACUCAUCCCCUACAACAAGGGCUGGUGACCAGGGUGAGGAACUCACCACAGCCCCCUGAGAAUCCUGCACUGGAACUAUCAGGAGAAAUCCUUACCUUUCUCUAGGAGCUGGAAAAGCAUGGAUGGGCGGAAUCCUGUGGGAACUGCUCCUAUGGUGCAGCUUCCUAACCACAUCUAACACCUCAGAACUCCCCAACAAACCCACUCAAGAGAAAAAAAAAACACGUGGCUCUUGUACAGGAAAGAACCAAAGACCCCUGUGAGAUUUUCCUCAGCCCCGGCGGGCUGGGCAGCAACCAGCCUGCAAAGGAGGAGCAGGGAGACAUCUGGACAACCGGGAGAAGAAGGGAAAGGCGGAGAGGGAACUCUUUGCUCCUUCUGAUGCAGAGUGAUGGGGACGGAGGGAUCUCUUCCCACGCACGGAGCAGAGCCGGGCGACUCCUGGA